rnacentral:misc_RNA from 1 species
GAUGAAGAACGUAGCAAAAUGCGAUACUUGGUGUGAAUUGCAGAAUCCCGUGAACCAUCGAGUUUUUGAACGCAAGUUGCGCCCGAAGCCUUUUGGCCGAGGGCACGUCUGCCUGGGCGUCACGCAUCGCGUCGCCCCCCACAAUUCUCCGUAAAGGGAACAUGUGUUUUGGGGGCGGAUAUUGGUCUCCCGUGCUCAUGGCGUGGUUGGCCGAAAUAGGAGUCCUUUCGAUGGACGCACGAACUAGUGGUGGUCGUAAAAACCCUCGUCUUUUGUUUCGUGCCGUUAGUCGCGAGGGAAGCUCUUCAAAAACCCCAGCGCGUCGUCUCUUGACGGCGCUUCGACCGCGACCCCAGGUCAGGCGGGACUACCCGCUGAGUUUAAGCAUAUCAAUAAGCGGAGGA